CAGCAGGCGCGAAAACUUUACACUGCGCGAAAGCGCGAUAAGGGGACCUCGAGUGCGUGCGCAAUGCGUACGCUUUUCAGAUGCCUAAAAAGCAUGUGGAAUAAGGGCCGGGCAAGACCGGUGCCAGCCGCCGCGGUAACACCGGCGGCUCAAGUGGUGGCCGCUAUUAUUGGGCUUAAAGGGUCCGUAGCCGGACCAGUUAGUCCCUUGGGAAAUCUUACGGCUUAACCUGUAAGGCUGCCAA
rnacentral:rRNA from 1 species